GGACCCCUGCCAUGUUCGAGCAGGACACCCAAAUUGGAGAACCAACACUAACCGUUAUGGGGACUCGGAUGACUUGGCACUGGCAAGCCCGCUACGACGGGAUCCCAAACCCAGGUCGGCGGUCGCCCACUUCGUAAUAACGGUUCUUCCAAACUCGUCUCAGACGGCAUUGCGGUGGGGGUUCC
rnacentral:other from 1 species